AGCAGUAGCCGCGGUAAUACGUAGGUGGCAAGCGUUGUCCGGAAUUAUUGGGCGUAAAGCGCGCGCAGGCGGAUAGGUCAGUCUGUCUUAAAAGUUCGGGGCUUAACCCCGUGAUGGGAUGGAAACUGCCAAUCUAGAGUAUCGGAGAGGAAAGUGGAAUUCCUAGUGUAGCGGUGAAAUGCGUAGAUAUUAGGAAGAACACCAGUGGCGAAGGCGACUUUCUGGACGAAAACUGACGCUGAGGCGCGAAAGCCAGGGGAGCGAACGGGAUUAGAUACCCCCGUAGUCCCUGUCUCUUAUACA
rnacentral:rRNA from 1 species